rnacentral:lncRNA from 1 species
UGCGGCGGCGCUGCCUGGCGUGUGCGCAAGGAGCGGGCGCGGAGCCGGCGGGCGGGCGGAGGAUAGCGCGGGCGCGGCACCUGCGGGCCCGAGGGUCUGGCUGUCGCAGCGCCGGGCCGCCCCGACUCCGAGCGGCUGCUGAGAUGAGUGCAGUGUCGCAGCCCCAGGCUGCUCCCAGCCCGCUGGAGAAGUCGCCCAGCACGGCGAUCCUGUGCAACACGUGUGGGAAUGUGUGCAAGGGCGAGGUGCUGCGGGUGCAGGACAAGUACUUCCACAUCAAGUGCUUCGUCUGUAAAG